rnacentral:rRNA from 1 species
GACGUAGGGCGCGAGCGUUGUCCGGAUUUAUUGGGCGUAAAGAGCUCGUAGGCGGCUUGUCGCGUCGACUGUGAAAACUUGGGGCUCAACCCCAAGCUUGCAGUCGAUACGGGCAGGCUAGAGUUCGGUAGGGGAGACUGGAAUUCCUGGUGUAGCGGUGAAAUGCGCAGAUAUCAGGAGGAACACCGAUGGCGAAGGCAGGUCUCUGGGCCGAUACUGACGCUGAGGCGCGAAAGCUAGGGGAGCAAACGGG